rnacentral:rRNA from 1 species
GACGCUGGCGGCAGGCUUAACACAUGCAAGUCGAGCGGAGAGAGGUAGCUUGCUACUGAUCUUAGCGGCGGACGGGUGAGUAAUGCUUAGGAAUCUGCCUAUUAGUGGGGGACAACAUCUCGAAAGGGAUGCUAAUACCGCAUACGUCCUACGGGAGAAAGCAGGGGAUCUUCGGACCUUGCGCUAAUAGAUGAGCCUAAGUCGGAUUAGCUAGUUGGUGGGGUAAAGGCCUACCAAGGCGACGAUCUGUAGCGGGUCUGAGAGGAUGAUCCGCCACACUGGGACUGAGACACGGCCCAGACUCCUACGGGAGGCAGCAGUGGGGAAUAUUGGACAAUGGGGGGAACCCUGAUCCAGCCAUGCCGCGUGUGUGAAGAAGGCCUUAUGGUUGUAAAGCACUUUAAGCGAGGAGGAGGCUACUUUAGUUAAUACCUAGAGAUAGUGGACGUUACUCGCAGAAUAAGCACCGGCUAACUCUGUGCCAGCAGCCGCGGUAAUACAGAGGGUGCAAGCGUUAAUCGGAUUUACUGGGCGUAAAGCGCGCGUAGGCGGCUAAUUAAGUCAAAUGUGAAAUCCCCGAGCUUAACUUGGGAAUUGCAUUCGAUACUGGUUAGCUAGAGUGUGGGAGAGGAUGGUAGAAUUCCAGGUGUAGCGGUGAAAUGCGUAGAGAUCUGGAGGAAUACCGAUGGCGAAGGCAGCCAUCUGGCCUAACACUGACGCUGAGGUGCGAAAGCAUGGGGAGCAACAGGAUUAGAUACCCUGGUAGUCCAUGCCGUAAACGAUGUCUACUAGCCGUUGGGGCCUUUGAGGCUUUAGUGGCGCAGCUAACGCGAUAAGUAGACCGCCUGGGGAGUACGGUCGCAAGACUAAAACUCAAAUGAAUUGACGGGGGCCCGCACAAGCGGUGGAGCAUGUGGUUUAAUUCGAUGCAACGCGAAGAACCUUACCUGGGCCUUGACAUAGUAAGAACUUUCCAGAGAUG